GUAGGUGAACCUGCGGAAGGAUCAUUAUCGAUUCACCACAAAUGUAGAAGGGAGUUGCUUGCAGCUGUGCUGGCUUUUUCGGAGGCAUGUGCACGCUCGACUUCUCCUUUUCUUACAUUUACACACCUGUGAACCUGUUGGUAGGGCUGCCUCGCAAGAGGACGCUCUAUGUCUUUUUCAUAUACUCCUUUGUAUGUUGAUAGAAUGUAUCGUUUUGCUCUCGUCAGAGACAAACACAAAAGUUAUUAUAACUUUCAGCAACGGAUCUCUUGGCUCUC
rnacentral:misc_RNA from 1 species